GAUGAACGCUGGCGGCGUGCCUAAUACAUGCAAGUCGAGCGAACGGACGAGAAGCUUGCUUCUCUGAUGUUAGCGGCGGACGGGUGAGUAACACGUGGAUAACCUACCUAUAAGACUGGGAUAACUUCGGGAAACCGUAGCUAAUACCGGAUAAUAUUUUGAACCGCAUGGUUCAAAAGUGAAAGACGGUCUUGCUGUCACUUAUAGAUGGAUCCGCGCUGCAUUAGCUAGUUGGUAAGGUAACGGCUUACCAAGGCAACGAUGCAUAGCCGACCUGAGAGGGUGAUCGGCAACACUGGAACUGAGACACGGUCCAGACUCCUACGGGAGGCAGCAGUAGGGAAUCUUCCGCAAUGGGCGAAAGCCUGACGGAGCAACGCCGCGUGAGUGAUGAAGGUCUUCGGAUCGUAAAACUCUGUUAUUAGGGAAGAACAUAUGUGUAAGUAACUGUGCACAUCUUGACGGUACCUAAUCAGAAAGCCACGGCUAACUCCGUG
rnacentral:rRNA from 1 species